rnacentral:rRNA from 1 species
UACAGAGGGGGCAAGCGUUGUUCGGAAUUACUGGGCGUAAAGGGCGCGUAGGCGGCCUGUUAAGUCGAACGUGAAAUCCCCGGGCUCAACCCGGGAACUGCGUCCGAUACUGGCAGGCUUGAAUCCGGGAGAGGGAUGCGGAAUUCCAGGUGUAGCGGUGAAAUGCGUAGAUAUCUGGAGGAACACCGGUGGCGAAGGCGGCGAUCCUGGACCGGUAUUGACGCUGAGGCGCGAAAGCCAGGGGAGCAAACGGG